AGCACAUCCUCAGCUCCUCCGAUCUACCUCCUCCGUUCUCCCUACGGGUUGACGCCAGCUACCGUGAACGAGGAGUUUUCCUCUCCUUCCUCUGUUGUUCUGCUGCUUGGGAAUGCUGGAGUUCUUCAUUAUCUCCCCUGUUUCGCAUCAUAGAUCGAUUAGCCUUGCUAGCUGCCAAAUCGUCACUGUUGAUAGGUGCGACAGCUCCGUCCGCUGCUAAUGCAAAGUCCCACACAUCCUUUCAAGUGGCUAUAGGAGGUCUGUUUCGAUGGCUGUUAUUUUUCCCCUAUAUCUGCCUUCGUCCCUUCCUCCCUGUCUCUGCCAGUGUGAACGGAGAUAGCAUAAUUGAUGCUGUACAUCUUGCUUACCAAUGAUGGGUGUUUGCAGAACAGAAUGGAGGCUUGUUCUGUAAAUAUGUCUUAUGGAUGUAAAGAUAAAAUUUAUGUAUUAUGUCAUGAGA